rnacentral:rRNA from 1 species
AAUGAACGCUGGCGGCAGGCCUAAUACAUGCAAGUCGAGCGCUCUAGCAAUAGAGAGCGGCGCACGGGUGCGUAACGCGUGGGAAUGUACCUCUAGGUGCGGAACAACGUCGGGAAACUGACGCUAAUACCGCAUAAUAUCUCCGGAUCAAAGAUUUAUCGCCUAGGGAUCAGCCCGCGUUGGAUUAGCUAGUUGGUGAGGUAAUGGCUCACCAAGGCGACGAUCCAUAGCUGGUCUGAGAGGAUGAUCAGCCACACUGGGACUGAGACACGGCCCAGACUCCUACGGGAGGCAGCAGUGAGGAAUAUUGGACAAUGGGCGAGAGCCUGAUCCAGCCAUGCCGCGUGCAGGAAGACGGCCCUAUGGGUUGUAAACUGCUUUUGUACGGGAAGAAACACCCNCC